rnacentral:rRNA from 1 species
ACGGAUAUCUCGGCUCUCGCAUCGAUGAAGAACGUAGCGAAAUGCGAUACCUGGUGUGAAUUGCAGAAUCCCGCGAACCAUCGAGUCUUUGAACGCAAGUUGCGCCCGAGGCCUCUUGGCUGAGGGCACGCCUGCCUGGGCGUCACGCCAAACACGCUCCCACCCCACUAACCCGGUGUGGGACGCGGCAUGUGGCUCCUCGUCCCGCAAGGGGCGGUGGGCCAAAGAUCGGGCUGCCGGCCUAUCGUGCCGGACACAGCGCGUGGU